rnacentral:rRNA from 1 species
AUUGAACGCUGGCGGCAGGCCUAACACAUGCAAGUCGAACGAGUGGCGGACGGGUGAGUAAUGUCUGGGAAACUGCCUGAUGGAUGGGGAUAACUACUGGAAACUGUAGCUAAUACCGCAUACCAUCGCCUGUUCCCAGAUGGGAUGAGCUAGUAGGUGGGGUAAAGGCUCACCUAGGCGACGAUCCCUAGCUGGUCUGAGAGGAUGCACAGGCACACGGGAACUGAGACACGGUCCAGACUCCUACGGGAGGCAGGAGUGGGGAAUAUUGCACAAUGGGCGAAAGCCUGAUGCAGCCAUGCCGCGUGUAUGAAGAAGGCCUUCGGGUUGUAAAGUACUUUAAGCGGGGAGGCGUUACCAGCAGAAGAAGCACCGGCUAACUCCGUGCCAGCAGCCGCGGUAAUUC